GUUGAGAUUUGUUUCCAAGAGAUUUCUGCAAGAGGAUCUUCACAUAAACCCACUUCUGCAGAGUUUUGAAAAACUUGUAAGGGGAAGCAAGAUGAAUACGCUUAAAAAAAAAAACUAAACUAAACUAAAACUCUGUCCUGUUUUUCUGAAUAAAUGAGAUAACCCGAGUGUUCCUUAAAAUCCCAGUGGGAGCUCAUAUAGGCCAGUAAUUUCAGGAUUUCGUUUUUAAGAGUUAUAUGGUGGCAUUAAAUCAUUUUAAAAUCAAUCAUCCAUGUCAACUUGUUUGUAUCUUUAUUGAAUUGAUAGGUGAUAAAUAAAGCUUGGUGUUAGUUACAGAAGUCAGAGGCUGCUGCUAGGAUCAGCUGAUACACUGCUAAUUGAAUUAUUCCCUUCAAUCACAGCCUGUUCUCAUAAAACAUUACAAUAGCUUUAUUUAUCCCUAUUUGGUCCAUUUAAACUUGUCUUCUCUCUCACUGAUCCAUGCUGCUGCUGGUUAUACCCUCUUGGGAGAAUCCAUAAAGCCAAAGCAAAAGCAGAGCCUUAAACUCAACCUUAUUUGAUGGCCUAACCCUAACCCUUUGUCCCAAACAUGCAGCAUUAUGAUUUAUACUGAUAAAGCAAACAGAACAUAAAGGUUAAUCUUCAUUUUACUGCCACAAAGAAAAAUAACGAUUUUUAGGAAAAGGUGGUUGCUGUACUCUGGGAGAGUUGGUUUCAAUCUGCAAAAACUCAGCUGAAGUGCUUCAUUAUAACUGCACAUCUUCAUAGCAGCUGCUUUGUCUGAUGUUUACUAAACCAGCCUCCAAUUUCACACGUCCGCACUCUUUAUCAAACCCAAAGACCUUUUAAAACUGCCACUCUGCUCGUUUUCAGUGGUGUUCUCAAUAAUCCAAACCGUAAAACCAACUGUACCCUGAUGAUACAACCUUCCAGUCAUGACUGAGCUCAGUUUGUGUUGUUACAAUACUCCUCUUUUUAGAUCUCACAGAAAUGAUUCUGUCACACUCUUUUUUUAAAAGAGUUCCCUGAGGAAAACCUGACAGCUCAUGAAUGGUCAGAGUGUCUCUGCUGGUUAAUAACUUGCUUUGAAAUUAUUUUACAAGAAAAAAAGGACCAUGUAAUUCAAAACAAGACAGCAAGCUCCUGUCUAAUGAAGGAAUGACCACUGUCUGAUGUGUCAAUCAUGAGCAUCCACUUCAGAAUUAAGGCGUGACAACCAGCCCCGGUCUCCCCUACACAGAGUGCUUUGAUUUCUACUCUCACUGAAAAUGGGCUGUGAAAUUAUCGCUGUUUGACUCUGACGCUGUCUGAAGAUAAAUCAGGAGUCUCGAUGACAAUGUCAGGACGUCUGUCUGCUGCUGGACCAACACUUCCGGCGAGAGGAGGCACGCGUCCAGCGGCAAAAUCAAGUUCUCAUUAAACCUCAACUAAAAACCAGGAAAUAUAGCUAUUGGAUUCUACAAAAUAAAAGCCCCAACCUCAGUGUGACCAGUCUAUCUCCCUCGUCAGCCUCCUCGUGGAUAAAAGGCUGAAAGAGUCCAAAUAUGCACGUAAUAGGCGUCAGGGGGAGCCCAGGAUGCAACUUUCGGCUUGUCAACCUCUCGUGAAAUUAGUGACCAAAAAGGUUAAUAGAGAUGCAAAACUGUCAAAAUUGCCCAAUGGUCUCACAAGUCAAAUCAUGUCAUCUGCUCUUAAAAGCAGAGGGACCUCUCAGUUCAAAUCCAACAUCCCUGGUGGUAACAUCUAUGUCAUAGGUAAAAAUCUACAAAUCUAUGAAGGCUCCAUUAAUGCUGAACAAUAUCUACAGGUUUAAGAGCAACAUCUGCUGACAUCCAGACAAAGACUUUUUUCAGGGAAGACCUUCAUAUUUAAGCAAGACAUUUACAAACCACAUUCUGACAACAGGGAUUACAACAGCAUGGCUUCAUUUUACAAUUUUUGUGAAUUCAAACGAGAAAUAUAAUAUCUCCAAAAAUUUCAGAAUCUGAAAAACCUUUUGUUUAAACUUACGAUGUAAACCUACUGCCUUUGUUCUAUUUUCAUUGGUUAUAUGUGGACAAAAAGCUCUGUUCAGGUUACAUAAAAUGCCGUCCUUUUAUAAUCUGUAUCGCUUUGACGCCUAAAAGUUGCUGUACGUGUUGUAAAAGUUUAUCUGAUCUAGUUUUAUUUUAUCUUUUGUGUCUUGUUAAACUGACACUGACGCCUCUGUUUUGCGCUUUUAUUUCGAAGAAAAUGACCGGAUGUUCUGUGUCUGGUCACAGUAGGUAGUUUGACACUGGUGCGUCCAGGCGGCGGAGGCACACACACAUAAGCUGUGCACACACAAAGAAAGGUAUCCAAUACUAAAUAUUUGCAUUACAGGUCAUACUAUUACAUCCUUAUACGUUAUAUUUGUCUUUUAGAUGAAGCUGGGACCAUGAACGUAUCCGUGUUGCCUUCAGGGGAGAAUUUAAGAGUCGGUCCAUCCUGUGACUGAGAUCAGCUGCAUGUCGACGGAUAUAGCUUUAAAAUUGCGAGGAAAACCUUUGAGCAAACGGCGUGUAGUGUUUGUUUGGACCCUAUCGGCUUUGGAGGGUUGGUUACUCUUUGACAUGGCUGUAAUUCCUCGCUGACUUCUUCAGGUGAAAGUUUCAUUCGCCUGAGAAAUUGUUGAGGCUCCCUGCCGACUGCGACAUCGCCCCGUCGGUGUAUUUCUGCUUUUCAAGUCCGACCUUUUCGCCUCGAUGCCGAGCAGAGGUCUAACUGUCUCGUGUUUCCCUCAGUGGUGUCAGGAGGCAGAACUAGGCCUUUAGCCGAACUAUUUCACCAAAUGAUUUCCUUUGUCGCAGCUCGGCAAGGCUAAAAAUAACGCCCGGCUGCAAACAUUAGCUGAGGUCAGAAUUAAGCGUUAUGAAAGAGGGAAAUGCUCCGCCGAUAAGACGGAUAAGUUCCCCAAAAACAUCAACACAUGAGGGAUUUAAACUGAUGGGUCCGGUUAACCCGGGUCAACAUCUUCUCCAGGCCUGGUUGUUAAAAUGACAGAAGCGUUUACGGAGUCCCUGACUGCAGGGGGAUCCGUGGUUACAGCAUAUAGCCGUAAACGUUCACAGAUAAGAGCGCGCAAGACUCCCUUUAAAUAUCCCAACAUUUCAACUUGAUCGCUAUUCGGUGUUAGUCUUUGCGUGAGAAAACGGGAGGUUUCAUUUUUAAAGAAUUGUACGGAUCCCGUCUUUAAUUCGGCUUACACCUGUACAACCAUACAGCUGUACAAUUCAACACAAUUUCAUUUAAAGUUCGGUUUCCACGACAGACCGCCAGUUGUUGUGAAUAACAUAAUCAGGCGUAAUUGCAGGAGUAAAAUACAUGCAAUUCUAAUGAUGCACCGUAAAGAUUUGUCACCAUCUGCUUUAACAUGCUCUCUCACCUAUUUUAAACGGUGUUAGGUCCAGGGCAAAGUUGGUUUAUCAUGAGUACUUCAUGUACAAGAUCAUGUUUUCUCCUCAGGCUCGGUAUGUCGGAUGAAGAUUCCCGUGCCAGCACCAGCUCUUCCUCCUCUUCAUCCUCAAAUCAUCAGCAGCAGCCUCAGCAUCAACAUCAAGACAGCAACUCCUCAAAGAAACGAGAGAGCAAAGUCAGCAUGAGCAAGACCUCCAAACUCCUCUCCACCAGUGCCAAAAGGUGAGCCAGGGGGUCAGGGAUCAAGUACAGCUGUUUCAAUUCAACAGCCACAGAUUAUGAAGAUAUGUAAAGGCAUAUUCCCAAUAUUUUAGUCACUUUUGGGGUAUUCAUCAUGUUUUUUUGGAGUUUGUCCUAAUUAUAGACAAGUUAAGGUACAUUAAACGCGAUUUAUUAAACAAAGAGGGACAUUGAGAGACCACCCCAAUCCAAACCAGGACUCUCAUUUAAAAAAGUUUAACAUUUUUCCUAAUUUAUGACAUUUUUGUGGCUAAAAGUGUUUCUGUUCAGACUUCCCUUUUUUCUGUUUGCUCUUCUCAUUCCUCUGUGAGGCUCUGAGUUUGGAUUUACAGUAUUUGAUCAGGGUUUAGCUUGUGAUGUGAUCUUGUUUGCUUUCGCAGAAUUCAAAAGGAACUGGCUGAUAUCACGUUGGAUCCGCCGCCAAACUGCAGGUGAGUGAAGGAUUGUGUAGCACGGUUCAGUGGCAACUUGUAAAAACAUGAGGAGAGACAUCCAGGUCAUGGAUAAGACGUGUUACAGAGGUGGUGUGGUUGUUUUUUUUUCUCGUCAGAUGAGUUGAUAAAGGCAGUCUACAUGUUGGGGAGCUCCUCUGUGUCUCUUUGCCGGGAUGAAGCGCAAUUUUUAUGCCUCACUGCUGUCAGUCUGUAGACUAUUUAGACUUUUCCAUUUAUUAGCUGUUAGAAAACCAACAUUUAAAUAAGUUUUAAAAUUGGGGCUCUGUUGGAUUUAAAUCUUUGACACAUUUUGGAGUCUUCAAUGAGCCAGAAGUUUAAGAUAUACUCCUGUAGACUCCUCAGUCUGAAACAGGUUGUGAUGCCUGCAACAAAUGUGUUUCAUCUUUUGAAGUCUAGUGGGAGUUUUUGGUUUACUGCUGAUAUUAUAAAAGACAGGACCCCAACAAAUGAGAUGUUUUUUGCAUUUGAAUGAACCUUUUUUAAUACCCACAUAACUAUGAGGCUUUGUUUGGGCUUAUUUAUGAGUUUAAAACAGAGUCAGAUGAUGAAAAAACAAACCUAAGUGUAUUCCAGGAUGCACCGAACCUCUUAAAAACCUGAAGUUUUGGGGCUAAGCUGCAUGUGUGAAUAGAGUAAGAUGAAACUUUCACCUUGACUCUUUUUUUCCUGCAAGGCCUUGAGUAAUUUUUUUCAAGAAUAUAAGGAGAGCAGAUACAGGAAAUAUUCAGGAAAAUCUGCCAAAAGUAGGCCAUGACAUUUGUAAUCAAGACAAGUGGAAACUGAAAAAGCAACACGCAGUUCUGGAGAAACACAAGCACUUGAGAACGGAGAGGGAGGAUGAUUUUCAAGAUGUGAAAAGUGGAGAUCUGCCUGUGUACAUGAGGCAAAAUGCAAUAAAGUGUCAUCACAGCAUGGAUAUAUGUGGCUUCAUUCACCAUCGUGCUGCAGACAGAACACUGGUUUUCACAGUCUGGGUUUGAUGUCACCUCCUGACUCCUGAGACUUACCUUAUGUCUCCCACCUACCACCCCUGUCUCCAAGCAGGACAGACUUCAUGCUGUGAUUGAAAUUUGUGAGCAGUGAAUUUAGAAAAAUUCUCGCAAAUUUCAGGUGUAAAUGUGUGAGAAGGAGGGUGUAACUGUUUAAGUUAGCUGUGGAGUAAACUCUGACCUGUCUAAUGAGGUGAAGUUGCCUUAUUUGUAGAUGGAGUUUGGUGGCUUUAAAGAGCGUGAUGUAAAUGUUUGUCAUGGUUUGAAAAAGGAGCGAUAAUCCUAACACUACACCUGGACAAACUUUGAUAGUGUGCAUUUACCUUUAGGCUUACAUUGCAUCCUUUACUGCCUCUCUCUCUCUCUGCUUGUACUGCAGAAACCCCAAAUUUUCCAACCAAUCACUCAGCCAGAGCUUUAAUUAUGCUGUCAAAUAAAACCCAGUUUAAAAAAAUGAGAACCUCAAUCUGCUUUCAAAUUAAUUCCUCUAUUUUUGCUCUUUAAUGGUGAGUCUUUUGAAGGAUUUGGCUGAGUAAUCAACCUAAAAACAUAUAUGUCUGCAGCAUCUUGGAGCAAAUAUCUGCUCGGCUUCACACUCUGGUUCACUUAUUCAUUCAGUAUGAAAUGCUGCACAUUUCUGAUAAAUUUGGUGUAUUUUCUUAUAAAAAAUCUGGUUUUGUGUGAGAAUAAGAUAAAAGUGGUCUGUGUUUGGAGGUUUAGUAAUCAGUUGUUUGUGCUGACAGUCAUGCUGAGUUAGAGACCACAUGUUGUGCUGAUGUUUUCACUCUGGUCAGACAGCUUUAUCACAGACCUGACUUCGAUAAAUCAGUGAUAUUUGAUGUGCCCGAUUUGGUCUGAUAGAGCUGUAAGUCAGCCAGCCUGGCAGGUUUAGACACAGAUCUCAUAAAAGGAUGAUCAGUGUGUGUGUGUGUGUGUGUGUGUGUGUGUGUGUGUGUGUGUGUGUGUGUGUGUGUGUGUGUUAUACAGAGUUGGGUGGUUUCCAGACUGUGAUACCCUUGAACCUCCUCCACAUUUAGCCGAGUUAUACAGUAUUACUGUGACUGAUUAAAAUCAUGCUGCUAGGCUUCAGAGGAGCCGACUGAAUUAUUUAAGCACGUAGUCAACAUACUGCCAACAUCAUACUGAAACAAUAACAACAGAAUAAAGGCCUCUGAUAUGAAGCACACUGGGCGUUACUUCACAUAUAAUCAGCGUUUGGGUUUGCUUUAAACUUUGAAAAAACUUCUGCUAGAGGAAGUGAGAGAAAAGAAACAAAAACCUCGUUUAGACCUGACUGAGCAAGUGUGUGAACAAAGCUGCAGACUCGGGUCUCUUUUAUAGAGUGAUGCUGUCUCAUGCAAACAGCUCCAGCAUUUGCUGCGUGUGCACCAUGUGAGCUCAUCUGCGGGUAUGGAUUUAUAAUCUGUGCCCACAGAUAUGCUCAGGCUCCUUUUCUCUUGACCAGGGGGGCUCUGCAGCAGUCAGCGGGUAAUUGAUCCUGAGAUAAUCCCCCCCAAAUCUGAAAUGUCCCCGUCUCCGGCUGCACUGUUUAAUGCAAGUUUUGCACACAGUCUUGUUUAGAUUUCACAAAUCUCUGUUUGUAUCAGUGUUGAAGGGCUUAUACUGUGUUAUUAAAGUGAAGCUGUUGGGAGGAUUUGUUGACACACCUUCUGCUCCUCUCAGGGGCAGGCAGGAUUUUGAUCAGAGUGAGGUGAAAUUAAACAAUUCAGAGAGAUGGCGUGAACCCUCUGUCGGUCUUUGCACGUGUAUUUGUGUGAGAGCUGAUAUUCACACACUUGAGAAAGCACAGAUUUACAUAACUAAGUGAAGAAAUGAGGACGUGGUGCAACAGGUGUUUCUACCUCUUGCACAGGAGAAGAGAAACCUUCUGACACCUGAACAUCUGCAGCAUCUAUUUUUAGCCUGUUUGCUGUUUGGGACUAACUUCAUCGUUAGUCUAAUUGAGCUGUACAAGUGUGCAAACGUGUCUGUGUGUUUGUUUAUGAGGCGACACCCAAGUCAAAGAGACUCCCUUUUCACCUGAUCAAGUCAACCAAAGGAGGGAGAGCUUCAGGGCUGACACAGACGCCUCCUCCUGUGUGUGUAGUGGCCGCACCCUGAGUGAUUGAUCACUGUGUCUGAGUGUGGAGAAAGGCCUCAUCACUUCAUUUUGUCCUCCUCCGCUCGGCGUGAAACCCUCCAUUCAGCAGCACGUGCAGAGAGGGUGGAUUUUUACAGGAUUUGGCGUCUUUCUGCUUCAUUUAGCACAGAAUCUGCUCAUUAGGGUAUGAAUGGAGCCGGCCUGCUUCGCCUUGCAGAUGCUGUUUAAUGGAUUACACAUCGAUGAGUCAGUUAGUUGUCGUCUCAUUCCUCUCGGGCUUCUUUCCGCUCUUAAAAAGGACACUGAGUGAUGAAGAAAAGACUUAUCCUGACUCGUUUCCAUUAUCAUCAGCGCCUCUCAGGGAGCAAACUUUGUUUUAUGAGCACUAAAAGCCAAAGAGUCUUUCAUCUGUCAUUUAUCAAAAUCUAAUUAUACUCCUCACCGGGAACGCCGAGCAGGGCCCUCUCUUUUUUUUUUUUUCUGUUCCUCUUCAGCCUCGUUGCCACUCAAGUGUGAACUGCAGACAUCACAGGCCUCCCCCUCCCCUCCUGUCCCCUCCCUUAUGCUGUGAUUCUGUUAUUCUCCAUGUUUUAUUCUCUUUUCCCCUCAACCAGCCGUUAAAUUUAUUGCCGCCAUCCUGACACUUUACUCUCGUCGUCUUUCUCUCCUUCUCGCUGUCGGUCACUAUCGCUCCUCUUCUGAUGAUGCCUUUGGGUGUCAGACAGAUUCCUGACAUUCCAGUAUUGUACUCAUGACAGCUAAAGAAAAGAGAAUGGUGCAAUUAGUGCGAAGUAUGUUUGGACAUGAAGACCAUUGUUGAUAUUGUUUAGCUCGAUACUUUGGUUCAGUCCGGACUUGGCCCAGAGGGAGCCACAUCUACCCGGGACAAUGAGAUGUUUACUGUUGCUCUUUCUUCCAGUUUUUAUUUUUUUCCUUUCACUCAUGACAUCCACCUUCUCCUCACCUCCUUCCUGCAUAAACAAUGCUCUGCCGCGGGUACGAGUGUUUACUCUGCUUUUGUCGUCAUGCUGUGCGAGCCAAAGGCUGACAGGCUGUUGUUGCUGUUAUUGUUGUGUGAAAGAUAGUCGGUUUUAUCCAUAUUUGCUCAAAAUGUUGACAUUUAUCUUGGUUUACCACAUAAUUUUCUCCCUUUUAAAAAGUGGUUUUAUGGAUCUUUAAAGACUCUCAAAUGUGAUGUGGUGUGGUGGUAUAUCAGUCUUUGCAUGUGUGAGCGUGUUCAGCGGGACUCUGGCAGGCGUGGUGUGAGCCAUCUGAGUUGCAUGUGACCCUCCUGCUCAGUUGCUGGUGUUGGCAGCGGUCUCUCCCCUCACACACACACACACACACACACACAUCUCUGCAGUGUGUUACUGUCCUGCAUGUGUGAGAUUACUGAGGUUUUCUCUGCAGCUCCUUGGUGUCUAAAAAAAGCCCGCUCCCUGGAGAGGAAGCGGCUGGCCUGUGUGUCGUUGUUGUUGCUUCAGAAACUCCUGGAAGCAGCACUGAGCUGCAGAGGUGGAAGUUUCCCGUCUGCGUGCCAGGCUUCAGAGAGGAAGUGGCGGUUUUCAUUUUAUCUCCAAUCAGCAGCAGGUAUCUUCAUCUAAAUGCUUUGGGUGUUUUUUGUUGACUGAAGUUGUCAAUUUCAUGAAAGUUUUAAACCAGAAGCUGUGACUGAGUUAGAUAAAGUGAAGAGAAGGAGCGUUCCUAAAAGAGAAUGAAACUUCAAAACUGAGAAAUGUUUCUUUUUGUGUCAGAAAUCCUUCAGCAGGUUCAAACAUGAGCCUGCCUCUCUCUCUCCAUCUUUAAACUACUGCAGCCUCACAGAUAAAUCUCAGCUACUUCACUCAGCUAAAGCCAAAUUAUUCGCUUGCUGGCCGUCAGCGGAGUGAGUAUCCUCUGACACUCAGCUGUUAUAUUUGGUUCAUGCACAGUGAAGAUUUAUAUAUCUCUUUCAAGGACGCCAAAUUUACUUCGACUUAAGUCAGCACAAGAGACGGCUCUAACAGCAGGAGAAAGUAAUCUAAACAGCGUAAAGUGAGAAUCUUUGAAACCCAGGAUUUCAGAGCCUGCAGAGUCUGUGUGGUAUUGGUCUUGUGAGGACCGUUAAUCAGUCUGUCUCUGGUCUACAUAAAACUUUAUCUCCAUUUUCUAGAUCCACAUCCUGACAAACCACACGUGCUUGUUCCAUCCUGGUAGUAGAGCGUUGCAGCGGUCUGGUUUUUAGUGAACUGGUGCAUCAGAGGAAGACUGCACCACAUUGAGGCAUGAACACAUGAGCAGCAUUUAGGGCUUCGACUAAAAAACACGUUAGGAGUUUGUGGACCUGCUUUGAGCUGACUGGUGAGAAUGAUGGUGUUACAUAGUUUAGUUUCAGACCAUAGACCAGGCAUGUCCAAACUACUCCACAAAGGGCCGGUGUAGCUGCAGGUUUUUCUCCCAACCAAGCAGCAGCACACCAGACUUGAUUCAUUUCUUUAGCUGAUCUCAGUCUUCAGACGGCUGAUUGGUCAGACUGCGUGCUCGUGAUUGGUUGGAAGAAAAACCUGCAGCCACACCGGCCUUUUGUGGAGUAGUUUGGACAUGCCUGCCAUAGACUGUAUAUAGAAUGGACAGAGUCUGCCUGCUAGCACAGCACCCUCUGGUGACGGGCUGCAGUAUACGUCAUAAAUCCCACCUCCUCCAGCAAUCCCUAUGGAGCUGUGGACAAACUUUAGAAAUUAAUUACACAGAAUAUACAUUUUUCUCCCCCCUGGUUGCGAUGUUGACAUGUAGUUACUGUAAGACUGGUUUGUGAUCAAGUCCUCUUUCCUUCUGCGCAGCUCAUUUUAAAAGUUAUUAGGGGGUUCAUGUUUUCUAUGAUUGACCAACGUGUGAUACAACCCUGAGUUUUCUCCUCCUCCUUUUUGUUAUACACAGAGAAAUGCAGGUGCUACAGCAGCUUCUAAACUCAACAAACCAAAUCUCCAAAUGACCCUUGAGAGUGAAUUAUUUACAAGGUUUUUACUGUCAGUGAAAUUACCCACAGAGGCCUCCUCCUCUCAGGAACCAGCAGACUCCCAGAUCAUAAGCUGCUGGAAACGCUGUGAAGUGUUUGUGUCAUUAAAAAGAAAAAAGAUCAUCUUGGUGUGAUCAAACAUCUUUCCAAAACCAGUGAAAUGAACACUGCAGCUGCUUGCAGCCUAAAAUCAAGUUAAUUGAAUGCGAGUAUUUUUAAACACUCUUUAGCUUCACGUCACAAACAUUUGGUUCAGUCUGUAUCAAUAUUAAAAGUCAGUCUGUUAUUAAUGUCACGGUGUGGAUUUCAUCAAUUUAAGCAGAAAAUAAAAGAGCUUUAUUUGGAGAACAGUAUCAGAUAUUCACCCCCUCAGUCCUCAUAAAGCACCCAGAACAUUUACAGUCUGAUUGCUAUUGUCUUAAAUUGGCAGAGUGGGAAGAGGUGUGUGUGCGUGCGUGCGUGUGUGCGUGCGCAGUUUCAUCGAGCGCUCUCCGGUGAAGUGGAAUCAUCACAUUGUCUUCAUCAGGCAGCUUAUUACAGUGUUCCUCCUCCUCCUCAUCAUCAUGGGGACACUGUUGUGAGCAGGUAGUGGUGACUGAGAAGAAAGCUCAGUGUGUGCAGAUAUGUGUGUGGAGGUGAGACGAUGGAGUAAGUAGUUUCAUCUGGUAUUUAGUCAUUAUAAAUGAGGAUGUUACAGCAGAAGUCUGACUAGAAAUGUUGGUGAGCUUUGGUUUGAGACAUGGAGCAGAGGUGCUGCAUCAGGUGGUUAGUAGAGGGUUAGAGCCUAUGGCGGAAAGUGGCCUUGAAAGUGAGCAUGAACACCACACAGAAGAACACAGCUGCCAACAAACCAUGUUAUCAUCUCAUUGUGUUCAGAGGGUCUCUCGUGGUUGUGUGCAGUCUACUCCAGACCUUGGUCUCCUGUUUCUGUGCCGAGCUGCUGCAGUCAGUUUUGGGUAAACCGCCGCGCUCCUCUCUGAAAGGUUAGCAGCUCUGAAAAAAUGCUCAAAUGUCAGCACUCUUGUUGCAGAGCGAGUGUACAGAGGUCGUAGCAGAAGCCCCCCCAAACCUCCCCCCUCCCCCCCUCUCAGAUAUUGGAGUGAGUGACAACAGUGAUAGCAUGGCGUAUUUUUCUGCCUCAUACAAAGCACUGGGAGGUCUUUGUGUGCGUGGAGGCAGGCGGGGAGGAAGCCAGGCGCUCUCUGUGGCUCGCCUGUGGAUGUGAGACGCCUCUGUUGUCAGGCGACAGAAACCUCAGUCUGGUUGAUUCAGAGGGAAAUGAUACAUGAUCUGUUCUGAGCUCAGCAGCAGGUCCUGCAUGAGGCUCUGUGGUGGGACCAACAUAUUAGGAGUCCCCGUCCAGGGCUGAGGUGCACCACAGGAAUGCUGGUACCUCUGUCUUAAUAAAGUGGCUUUGACUAAAGACUGUGUGGUGUUUUUGUUCUGCAGGACGCUCUCUUGAAUUAUGAUACCUUUGGAUGGACUUGGUUUCAUCUGGGAGCUCAAUCUCAGGCUUUUGGGCUUUUUAAAGAAGUAAAAAGUGUGCGCUCCGAAAUGAGUUGAACUAAGUCCUAACUCUGAAUGUCUCUUUAAGGAAGCAGAGCAGACUCAGGUGGGUUUUCUCUCGCCUCUCUGUAUAUUUCUGCCGUCUCUCCCUAAGGUGAUAAAGUGCAGACAGUUUGUCUCAGAGUGUGAGAUUAUCAGCUGACAUUUCCCUCUCCUGUCAGGACUCAAAGCAAACAGAAAACAGAGGCUACUCACUAUAACAGGAGUGACUGCAGGUCAGAGUUACACUGUGAGUGACUCUGUCAGCUCCUGUGUCUGAAUAAUAGAUUCUUUCUGUUUGUUUGUUUGAAACACUCACAUUAUAUCUGAGCAGAUUGCUGUGUUUUCCAGAGUUUCAUCAGUCAAACAUGCUUUAAGAGCUCUACUUAUUUUCAAAUGAAAUGGCAAACUGAAGAGCGUCGUUCGGAGCGCUUCAUCAGGCACUCAAUUAUGUGAAAACAUCUCCAGCGUCGGCGCUCAGACUGAAGCUGCUGUUGACUCUCUGAGCUGCUUCUGUUGCUGCUGCUGCUGCUGUUGGAUUGUGUCUCUUUUUACUCUUCAGUUUAAUCUCCACAGGAAAAUAAAGUCCUGUUGAUCUGUUUCCUUUGAGCACUUCGCUCUCUGUUCACAUAAUGACUCGCACGGGUAACGGCGCUGCGUUUUUUUAAUGAAUUACAAACGAGGAGACUAUGGUUAUUAGAUUUCAGGCAGCAUCAUCAGAAAGAGUCUAAAUUUAGAGCCUUUUAGUCAUUAAGUAAAAGUGGAACAGCAAAAUUAACCUCAGCACACUUAAGAUAAACAAUUCAGUGUUGAAAGAUGAAGGCCAGAUCAGUGGAUGAAGGAAGAGUCUGAAUAAAGCAGGACAGAAGCUCUUGGAGCUACAAAUAGAGCUGAGUGUGCAGUGAAGUUUGUGGACAGAGUCUCUCCCGUGCACCUGCUCAAGUUUUUAAAACAAUCGUAUAAUUUGGUGUAUUGACCCUUUAUUACCUGAUUCCUUACUGUUGUCUCCCCCAUUGUUAUUCUUUUACUUCAUUGUGCCUGACUGCCUCUGUUUAAAGUUUUCAAUCAUAUGAAAUCAAACUGCUGCAGGAUUGAUUCAUCUCCUCCCUCCUUUUUUUAUUUCUCUGCUUGUAAAAAGUCCUAAAGCGAAUCAAAUCUAUAUUAUUGAAUCAAGCUGCAGUCUCUUUGUUUCUCUCUUUGUAACUCUAUGGCUUUGAAUAGGCUCCAUAUUAUCAUAAUUAUGUGCUUGUUCUGCUGUCUGCCUCCAUUUUUCGUAUUGGCUUUUGAUUAUUUGAUUGCCUUAGCACUUAAUGCUGCCACCUAAAAGAAAAACAUCAGUGUAAUUAAGAGCGAAACCAGCUAAUACCUUCAGAUAAUAGAGCCAGCAUUAGUGAAAAUCAUCUAUAAAUUAAUGUCUUGUUUGAAAGCUGCACUCUGCUUUUAUUGCACCUGAUUUUAAUAAAUAAUUCUUGUUAUUAGCGCCGGUCCUAAAGGAGACAACAUCUAUGAGUGGAGGUCGACCAUCCUGGGCCCUCCAGGCUCUGUGUACGAGGGAGGAGUCUUCUUCCUGGACAUCGCCUUCACACCAGACUACCCCUUCAAACCACCCAAGGUGAGUCUCUGCACAGCUGUCAGCAUCCUGCAGAGUCUGUGCUGAGAGGCGUCAAACACAUGGCUCUAUUUUAAAGGGCUGUUGUUUCUGUGUUUGUCACUAGAGGGAGCUCUUGCACUUGUUAAUGCAGCUCAUGAUCUUGGUGACAACAGGAUCCUUUAAUCAGCAAUUCUCCUCUCCUAUAAGAAGCAGAUUCUACAUCCACAAAGCUGCAGAGUAUUAACCUGUUUUUCUUUGUGUGUGUGUUCAGGUGACGUUUCGUACGAGGAUCUACCACUGUAACAUCAACAGUCAGGGGGUGAUCUGUCUGGACAUCCUCAAGGACAACUGGAGUCCUGCCCUCACCAUCUCCAAGGUCCUGCUGUCCAUCUGCUCCCUGCUCACUGACUGCAACCCUGGUGAGAGCUGCAGACCACAAUCACACACAUUCCUGUUUCAUUUCAAAACUGUAACAGAGUGAAGAGCAUUUCCAGGAUUUACGUGAACUUUUAAGAUUGUGUGGAUCUGUGCUUGAUUAAUACUGAGAUGAUAAAACAGUCGAUCAUGGUUACAUUUUUCUGAGCUCUGAUGUUUGAUUUUUCGUUUCCUUUACCAGCUGACCCUCUGGUUGGAAGCAUCGCCACACAGUACACAACAAACAGACCCGAACACGACAGGAUAGCCAAACAGUGGACCAAACGCUACGCCACAUAAUCACCUGAGGGGCUGCUGCUGGUUUGACGACUCGGGGAUGAAGGGCAGGGGAGGGUCGACUCGGGGAGGUGGGGCAGGUAGAGGGGCGGGUGGAUUUUUAUCUCUGAAUUGAAGAAGUCUUAACUCCUGAUAUUUUGUUGUUUAUUGUAUUUUUUAAGUUAUCUGCGGCCCAAUUAUAAUCAAACCUGGCAAUAAUGCAUUUAGUGUUUUCUCUUUGAAUUUUUAGCUUGUGCUUGAAGAUGGACAUUAAUACUAAACUGCUAGAUUGAUCGUGUCUCAGCAUGAUUCCCAGUCGGUGUAAACUCUCACAUGUAUUCAUUUGCAGUUGGUGUUUGCUUCCCCCUCCAGACUCUGCUCUUUGAACAGGUGUUUCACACAUGUAGACAUGCUUAGAUAUGGAUGGAUAUUGGUUGUGAUUUGUGUUCCGUACUGAUGAAAAGCUGUUCUGUUUCUCCCUUACGAAUAAACAUGACCAACUGAA
rnacentral:lncRNA from 1 species